CAGCCGCCGCGGUAAUACCGGCGGCCCGAGUGGUGGCCGCUAUUAUUGGGCUUAAAGCGUCCGUAGCCGGGUUGGUUAGUCUCCCGGGAAAUCUGGCCGCUUAACGGUCAGAAUUCCGGGAGAUACUGCCAGCCUAGGGACCGGGAGAGGCCGAGGGUAUUCCCGGAGUAGGGGUGAAAUCCUAUAAUCCCGGGAGGACCACCUGUGGCGAAGGCGCUCGGCUGGAACGGGUCCGACGGUGAGGGACGAAGGCCAGGGGAGCAAACCGGACUAGAUACCCGGGUAGUCCUGGCUGUAAACGAUGCGGACUUUGUGUCGGACAAGCUAUGAGCUUGUCCGGUGCCGGAGGGAAACCGUUAAGUCCGCCGCCUGGGGAGUACGGCCGCAAGGCUGAAACUUAAAGGAAUUGGCGGG
rnacentral:rRNA from 1 species